CCCAUCCCAGCCCCCCUCUUCGUGGUCUCGUCUCCUUCCCCUUUCUCUUCUCAAUCCAGAUCCAUGGAGGUGGACGAUAGGGACGCCAUCGAUCGCGACGCUAGGGUUCCUAGCCACUGCCACACGCACAGCCGGACAAAGUCACCUCCGCUCUUGCGGCCAUCGAUGGUCCUCCCCACCGUCGCCCGGAAUUGUUCCGCCCAUCUCUGCUCGCCCCCGAGUAGGAAGGCCGUGGCGAAUCUGGCACCUAUAGUCGGAAGCAACAGGGUUGGUGGAGUGGCGCAUGCUGGCGGGGCCGGUAGUUGAGGGGGCUCACCGGCCGUAGCGGCAGGAGCGGUCGGGGAAUCACAUCGCAAGAGGCUGCCUUGGUGAUGAUCUUGCUACAAGUUUCUUCUUGGGUUUACACGGUAACCGUGCAGGCAACUGGUGGUGGAGUCUCGCCGGAUGAUGUGACGGCAGCCAUCGUCCAUAUUAAUUGAUUCAGUAUGUAUGCUCAAACUUUCCCUUGUAAGGCAAGACACUUCAGAGACCAAUGGUUGACAGUCACAGCUGAUACGUAGAACUGCAGGCUCCUCUGUUCCUGUCAGCUUCAGUAGCUCGUUGAUUAAGAUGUAUGAUUGGGUGACCAGCUGCAAGCUCUGGAUGCCAAGGGUGGAGCUUUAAAAGUACUUGAAAAAAUUGUGAUUGCCUAUUCCAUGGUAAACCUACUAAGAUUUGUGCUUUGCAUAGAGGUUUAGUUGGUCAGAGAGCUAUGCACUUUAUAGCAUCACUUUUUGCCUUCUACUGCAAAUCUGCAAAAUAAGGAAUAUGUACAAAUAUAUUUAUUUCAUAUAGACUUGAUGGCUUCCAACUUGAUGAAAGAACAAUGGCUGAGAAGGGUUUAUUUACAACUUAAUGUUUUCCAUACAACAUCCUUGCAUAGGCUAACACAUGACAUUCCUAUGCCUUGCUCCAACGGCUUUAACCAUCUUAAUUUGCUAAAUGGUGACUCGUGUUCUCUAGAGAUUUCUAAUAGUAGAUUUAAGUGCAUGAUUUCCGGUGGGGAUUGAUCCCUCAUGAAUUAAACAAAUAUGGAUUCUUUCCUUCUCCAUAUUUGUGCUUGUCACUUAUGAGUAUCAUAAGCAUUGCAAGGCCAAUGUAUCAUGUCUUGCAAAGCUGGACUUUCUGCUUUCCAGUUGGCCCGCUGAUGUGCAAAUUGAGUUUUUUUUGCUC